rfam:Gossypium hirsutum cultivar TM-1 unplaced genomic scaffold scaffold3310.1, whole genome shotgun sequence
UCCAACAACUUUCAUCCAUUUUUAUUGUUGAAAACCAGCAUGAUUGAUAGAAUAAUCGAACAGUUACACUUGAUAUGUCAUGUGUAUCUCAUUUUAACAUAUAGGGACUAGUUUUUAAUAGUAGAAAUGAAUAAAAUUUUUA